rnacentral:rRNA from 1 species
GACGUAGGGCGCGAGCGUUGUCCGGAUUUAUUGGGCGUAAAGAGCUCGUAGGCGGCUUGUUGCGUCGACUGUGAAAACCCGCGGCUUAACCGCGGGCUUGCAGUUGAUACGGGCAGGCUAGAGUUCGGUAGGGGAGACUGGAAUUCCUGGUGUAGCGGUGAAAUGCGCAGAUAUCAGGAGGAACACCGGUGGCGAAGGCGGGUCUCUGGGCCGGUACUGACGCUGAGACGCGAAAGCGUGGGGAGCGAACAGG